CGAUUCUCGGAAUGCCCCAUUUUAUGAAUUAUUUUGGUCAACCACAAAGCACUUUUUUAUUUCCUAGUCAAACCUGGACAGAUCUGCUAUCAAAUUAAAGAAUCAAACACUUAAAACAAAAAUAAACUAAUAUUAAUAUCACAAGUGCUAAAGCUAGAUAAUGUAAAACUUAUUAAUAUAUAGUUGAUGGGUUACUGGAAGGAUUAUGUAUUGUUGACUCAAUUGCCUCAAUAAUGUAAUAUGUUGAGGAAACAGUUACUGCCCUCUGAAAGGUCUUAAUAUUAUUGGUUCAGUUGCUGGUCUUAAUAAUUCAACCUAUGCAUGAAAAAUUUAUUGCCCUAUCACUUCCAGUGUCAUCAGAUUCAAAGUUUAAAAGGAAAUUUCUCACAAAGGUUGCCGGCAAGAUUCUACUAAAGUCUAAAUGUGACUAAGAAUAUAGAAAAAGGGACAUUACUAUGUCAAGGAAAAAUCAAGAAUCAGUUUGCUAUUAUAAACUGCAUAUUUUAGUAAAUAUAAAAACCAAAUAAUAGGGGUAUUGAAAGUCCACUAUGGGAAAUAGAAAUAUCAAGUUUUGGCAUCAAAUAAUUUAGCAAGAUACAUAAAUUCAAGUGAAUUUAACCAAUGACACUAAACUCACCUGCACAAUUCACUGUGCUCCUUUUCAUAAUUGGAUAUUUAAAAGCGACGGCCGUUGAAACAAUGUCAGCCAGGAAUUACCUGCAUUUUCAAUUUAAAAAAAAUAAUAUUAUAUAUCCAAAUCAAUUAGAUAACUAAGAGUAUGUAAAAUUUGAGCAUGUGCGUGUAUGCAUCUGUGUGGCAAGAAGGCGAAUGUAUGAAAUCCUACUGUGAGGCUUCAGCUUCUUGACGCUCCUUGCCUAGCUUCACGUGAAAACAGUUUUAACCAGCACGUGAAUAUUUUCUUUACUUCCAGAGAUCUGAAUGACAUUGGAGUAUGGGACAAGAGGAAAUAAAAUUCUGUCAGCAGUUCACAAUACAGGAACAGGAUGUAUUACAUACACAAAUUUGAAAAAAAUAAAUAAAUAAAUUCAAGACAUAUAACAAUGAUAGUGACACUGGAGACCAAAAAAAAAAAAAUUUCCUUCACUUCAAGACUUAUUUACCCAGUGCAUACGACUACUUAUGUGGAGUAAAUAUUUAGAUGAGUGCUAAAAAUCGUAAUAGGGCAUUUGGUCUAGUGGUAUGAUUCUCGCUUUGGGUGCGAGAGGUCCCGAGUUCAAUUCUCGGAAUGCCCCAUUUUAUGAAUUAUUUUAGUCAACCACAAAGAAUUUUUUUAUUUCCUAGUCAAACCUGUACAGAUCUGCUAUGAAAUAAAAGAAUCAAAGACUGAAAACAAAAAUUAACUAACAUUAACAUGACAAAGUGCUAAAACUAGAUUUAAUAAUGUAAACCUUAUUAUGACAGUUGAUGGGAUACUGGAAUAAUUAUAUAUUGUUGACUCAAUUGCCUCAAUAAUGUUACAUGAUGUGGAAAAAGUGACUGCCCACUGAAAGGUCUCAAUAUUAUUGAUUCAAUAUCUUCCCUCAAUAAUGCAACCUAUGAAAAAAAAAAUUAUUGCCCUACUGAAAGGUUUAAUUAAAUAAUGCUGAUUCUAUCACUUCUAGAGUCAAUAGAUCCAAAGUUUAAGAGGAACCUCAGAACAAAGGAUGCUGACAAGAUUGUACUAAAUAUAGACUAAGAAUAUAGAAAACGGAAUAUUAUUACAUCAAGAAGCAUCAAGAAUUAGUGUAUUACUCUAAACCGCAUAUAAAAACCAAAUAACAGAGGUAUUGAAAGUCCACGACGGUAAAUAGAAAUAUUAAGUUUUGGCAUCAAAUAACUUAGCAAGAUACAAAAAUUGAAGCAAAUUUAAUCGACACUAAACUCACCUGCACAAUUCACUGUGUGUCGAAUAAUAAGGUAUUUAAAAGCAGCCGCUAUUGACAACACAUGUCAGCCAGGAAUUACCAGCAUCAGCAAUGAGAAAAAUAGUAUGAUCUACCCAAAGCAAUCAGAAAAUUAAGAAAACAUCAAAUCAUGCAAAUAAGCCUUGAGAGCAUGUACAUGUGUACAUCUGCAUGGCAUGAAGGUGAAUGCAUGAAAUCCAAUACUGAAACUUCAGCUUCUUGUUGCUCCUUGCCCAGCUUCAUGUGAAAACAUUUUUAAGCAGCACGUGCAUAUUUUUUUCCAGAGAUCUAAACGACAUUGGAGUGGGGCCAAGAGGAAAUAAAAUUUUGUCAGCAGUUCAUUCUACCUGUACAGGAGGUAUACAGUAUGUAUACAUCCCAAAAUUUGGAAGAAUAUAGUCUAGAUAUAUAGCAAUGAUUGGCGACACUGGAGACAUAAAAUUUUCCUUCACUGUAAGCCCAGUGUUUACUAUUUAUUAUGUGGAGUAAAGAUUUAUUUGAGUGCUAAAAUCAUCAGUAAU
rnacentral:lncRNA from 1 species